CGCAGUAACAGGAAAGACGCAGCCUAGCUGAAAGUCAAGGGAGGUGAUACACGGCUCUGGCCGCCACUCUUGAGAAUUAAAGCCGAACUCCGGGUGGCUGAGUUUUCCCACGCCUCCCUGUGUACGAGGAACUGCGGAGUGUGUGAGUGCUAACACCACAAGCUGCUGAAGGGCACAGACCACCCUCUUCAUUCCCCAACACAGCUGAUGAACAUGGAAUAUAUGGAAGAGUGAAUGGCUAUUCUUUAACUUAGGGUUUUUAACUUGACUGUCACUGAAAUAUUAAACAUAGGAAACUGCUUUACAUUUUGUGCUGUUACUAAAAAUAAACAUAAGAUUAGACUUAAGUUAAA